CCUACGGGAGGCAGCAGUGGGGAAUAUUGGGCAAUGGGCGCAAGCCUGACCCAGCAACGCCGCGUGAAGGAAGAAGGCUUUCGGGUUGUAAACUUCUUUUAAGAGGGAAGAGCAGAAGACGGUACCUCUUGAAUAAGCCACGGCUAACUACGUUCCAGCAGCCGCGGUAAUACGUAGGUGGCAAGCGUUGUCCGGAUUUACUGGGUGUAAAGGGCGUGCAGCCGGGAAGACAAGUCAGAUGUGAAAUCCCGCGGCUCAACCGCGGAACUGCAUUUGAAACUGCAUCCCUUGAGUGCGCGAGAAGUAUGCGGAAUGCGGGGUGUAGCGGUGAAAUGCAUAGAUAUCACGCAGAACUCCGAUUGCGAAGGCAGCAUACCGGCGCGCAACUGACGCUCAUGCACGAAAGCGUGGGUAUCGAACAGGAUUAGAUACCCGGGUAGUC
rnacentral:rRNA from 1 species